CACGUAGUUAGCCGUCCCUUUCUGGUUAUAUACCGUCACACGAGGAGCUUUCCACUCUCCUCGUCGUUCUUCUCUAACAACAGAGUUUUACGAUCCGAAAACCUUCUUCACUCACGCGGCGUUGCUCGGUCAGACUUUCGUCCAUUGCCGAAGAUUCCCUACUGCUGCCUCCCGUAGGAGUUUGGGCCGUGUCUCAGUCCCAAUGUGGCCGAUCACCCUCUCAGGUCGGCUAUGUAUCAUCGCCUUGGUGAGCCUUUACCUCACCAACUAGCUAAUACAACGCGGGAUCAUCUUUGAGUGAUGCAAUUGCAUCUUUCAAACUUAAAACUUAUGUUUAAAGCUAUUAUGCGGUAUUAGCAUUCGUUCCAAAUGUUGUCCCCCGCUCAAAGGCAGAUUCCCACGCGUUACUCACCCGUUCGCUGCUCAUCCAAUCGGUACAAGUACCAUCUUCAGCGCUCAACUUGCAUGUAUUAGGCACGCCCGCCAGGCGUUCGUCCUCGUACGUCCG
rnacentral:rRNA from 1 species